rnacentral:rRNA from 1 species
UGCCAGCAGCCGCGGUAAUACGGAGGGGGCCAGCGUUGUUCGGAAUUAUUGGGCGUAAAGGGCGCGUAGGCGGCUAGGCAAGUCAAAGGUGAAAUCCCUCGGCUCAACCGAGGAACUGCCUCUGAUACUGCCUGGCUUGAGUCCCGGAGAGGGUAGUGGAAUUCCCAGUGUAGCGGUGAAAUGCGUAGAUAUUGGGAGGAACACCAGUGGCGAAGGCGACUACCUGGACGGGUACUGACGCUGAGGCGCGAAAGCGUGGGGAGCAAACAGGAUUAGAUA